rnacentral:rRNA from 1 species
GACGAACGCUGGCGGCGUGCUUAACACAUGCAAGUCGAACGGAAAGGCCCUGCUUUUGUGGUGUGCUCGAGUGGCGAACGGGUGAGUAACACGUGAGUAACCUGCCCUUGACUUUGGGAUAACUUCAGGAAACUGGGGCUAAUACCGGAUAGGAGCUCCUGCUGCAUGGUGGGGGUUGGAAAGUUUCGGCGGUUGGGGAUGGACUCGCGGCUUAUCAGCUUGUUGGUGGGGUAGUGGCUUACCAAGGCUUUGACGGGUAGCCGGCCUGAGAGGGUGACCGGCCACAUUGGGACUGAGAUACGGCCCAGACUCCUACGGGAGGCAGCAGUGGGGAAUAUUGCACAAUGGGCGGAAGCCUGAUGCAGCAACGCCGCGUGCGGGAUGACGGCCUUCGGGUUGUAAACCGCUUUCGCCUGUGACGACGCGUGAGUGACGGUAAUGGGUAAAGAAGCACCGGCUAACUACGUG